GGACCAAGGAGUCUAGCAUGUGCGCGAGUCAUUGGGACAAUUACGAAACCUAUAGGCGCAAUGAAAGUAAAGGCUCGCCUAGCGCGGGCCGAGGGAGGAUGGGUGAUUCCGUAAGGGACGCCCCGCACUCCCAGGGCGUCUCAUUCUCAUCGCGAGAAGAGGCGCACCAAGAGCGUACACGCUGGGACCCGAAAGAUGGUGAACUAUGCCUGGUCAGGACGAAGUCAGGGGAAACCCUGAUGGAGGUCCGUAGCGAUUCUGACGUGCAAAUCGAUCGUCGGAACUGGGUAUAGGGGCGAAAGACUAAUCGAACCAUCUAGUAGCUGGUUCCCUCCGAAGUUUCCCUCAGGAUAGCUGGCGCUCGCUUCUGGCGAGUCUCAUUCGGUAAAGCGAAUGAUUAGAGGCAUUGGGGUCGAAACGGCCUCAACCUAUUCUCAAACUUUAAAUGGGUGAGAUCUCCGGCUUGCUUGAACUGUGAAGCCGCGAGAUAUCGGAUCAGAGUGCCAAGUGGGCCACUUUUGGUAAGCAGAACUGGCGCUGUGGGAUGAACCAAACGCCGAGUUAAAGCGCCUAAAUCGACGCUUAUGGGAUACCAUGAAAGGCGUUGGUAACUUAAGACAGCAGGACGGUGGCCAUGGAAGUCGGA
rnacentral:rRNA from 1 species